rnacentral:rRNA from 1 species
AUCUGCCCACUGAUUUAAUAUUAAAGGGCUGCAGUAUAUUGACUGUACAAAGGUAGCAUAAUCAUUAGUCAUUUAAUUGAUGACUUGUAUGAAAGAUUGGAUGAAAUAUAAACUGUCUCUUAAUUAUAUUUAGAAUUUAAUUUUUUAAUUAAAAAGUUAAAAUGCAUUAAAAAGACGAGAAGACCCUAUAGAGUUUUAUAAUUAAAUUAAUUGAGAUUAUUUAUAAGGUUAAAAUUAAAAUUAAUUUAUUUAUUUUGUUGGGGUGACAGAAAAAUAUAAAAAACUUUUUAUAUAAUAAGACAUUAAUAAGUGGUUAAAUGAUCCAAUAUUAUUGAUUAUAAGAAAAAAUUACCUUAGGGAUAACAGCGUUAUUUUUUUUUUUAGUUCGUAUAAAAAAAAAAGUUUGCGACCUCGAUGUUGGAUUAAGAUAAAAUUUAAAUGUAGAAG